GUUAUCGUUUAUUUGAUAGUACCUUACUACUUGGAUAACCGUGGUAAUUCUAGAGCUAAUACAUGCUGAAAACCCCAACUUCGGGAGGGGUGUAUUUAUUAGAUAAAAAACCAACGCCCUUCGGGGCUUCUUGGUGAUUCAUGAUAACUUCACGGAUCGCAUGGCCUUGCGCCGGCGACGGUUCAUUCAAAUUUCUGCCCUAUCAACUUUCGAUGGUAAGGUAUUGGCUUACCAUGGUUUCAACGGGUAACGGGGAAUUAGGGUUCGAUUCCGGAGAGGGAGCCUGAGAAACGGCUACCACAUCCAAGGAAGGCAGCAGGCGCGCAAAUUACCCAAUCCCGACACGGGGAGGUAGUGACAAUAAAUACUGAUACAGGGCUCUUUUGGGUCUUGUAAUUGGAAUGAGUACAAUUUAAACCUCUUAACGAGGAACAAUUGGAGGGCAAGUCUGGUGCCAGCAGCCGCGGUAAUUCCAGCUCCAAUAGCGUAUAUUAAAGUUGUUGCAGUUAAAAAGCUCGUAGUUGAGCCUUGG
rnacentral:rRNA from 1 species